UACAGAGGUCUCAAGCGUUGUUCGGAAUCACUGGGCGUAAAGGGUGCGUAGGCGGCUUUGUAAGUUAGAGGUGAAAGCCCAGGGCUUAACCCUGGAAUUGCCUUUAAGACUGCAUCGCUAGAAUCGUGGAGAGGUGAGUGGAAUUCCGAGUGUAGAGGUGAAAUUCGUAGAUAUUCGGAAGAACACCAGUGGCGAAGGCGACUCACUGGACACGUAUUGACGCUGAGGUGCGAAAGCGUGGGGAGCAAACAGG
rnacentral:rRNA from 1 species